rnacentral:rRNA from 1 species
GGCGAACGGGUGCGUAACGCGUAUGCAACUUACCUUUUACUAGAGAAUAGCCAAGAGAAAUUUUGAUUAAUGCUCUAUGUUCUUAUUUACUCGCAUGAGUAAUUAAGCAAAGCUCCGGCGGUAAAAGAUGGGCAUGCGUCCUAUUAGCUUGUAGGUGAGGUAAUGGCUCACCUAAGCUCCGAUAGGUAGGGGUCCUGAGAGGGAGAUCCCCCACACUGGUACUGAGACACGGACCAGACUUCUACGGAAGGCAGCAGUAAGGAAUAUUGGACAAUGGAGGCAACUCUGAUCCAGCCAUGCCGCGUGAAGGAAGACGGCCUUAUGGGUUGUAAACUUCUUUUAUACAGGAAGAAACCUUUCCACGUGUGGAAAGCUGACGGUACUGUAAGAAUAAGGAUCGGCUAACUCCGUGCCAGCAGCCGCGGUAAUACGGAGGAUCCAAGCGUUAUCCGGAAUUAUUGGGUUUAAAGGGUCCGCAGGCUGUUUGUUAAGUCAGAGGUGAAAUCCUACCGCUCAACGGUAGAACUGCCUUUGAUACUGGCAAACUUGAGUUAUUGUGAAGUAGUUAGAGUGUGUAGUGUAGCGGUGAAAUGCAUAGAUAUUACACAGAAUACCGAUUGCGAAAGCAGAUUACUAACAAUAUACUGACGCUGAGGGACGAAAGCGUGGGUAGCGAACAAGAUUAGAUACCCUGGUAGUCCACGCCCUAAACGAUGGGCACUAGCUGUUCGAUGUACAUUGGUACGUUGAGUGGCUAACCGAAAGUGAU